GAGUUUCCCUCUUUUUGCCCAGGCUGGAGUGCAAUGGCGUGAUCUCGGCUCACUGGAGUCUCCACUCACUGCAAUCUCUGCCUCCCGGGUUCAAGCGAUUCUCCUCCCUCAGCCUCCCGAGUAACUGGGAUUACAAGGCUGGAGGAUCACUUGAGCUCAGGAGUUUGAGACCAGCCUGGGCAACAUGGCGAAAUCCCAUCUCUACUAAAAAUACAAAAAUUAGCCAGGCAUGGUGUUGUGCACCUGUAGUCCCAGCUACUGGGGGCAAUAACCCUACAAAUGACUCUGUAACUCUUAUUAGGGGCAGUAAGGACACUAAGGUCUUUCUUAACUCU
rnacentral:lncRNA from 1 species